UUGUAAGUGUCUAAGGGCGCAUGGUGGAUGCCUUGGCAUCGAGAGCCGAUGAAGGACGUGGGAGGCUGCGAUAUGCCUCGGGGAGCUGUCAACCGAGCGUGGAUCCGAGGAUUUCCGAAUGGGGAAACCCAGCACGAGUGAUGUCGUGCUACCCGCAUCUGAAUAUAUAGGGUGCGGGAGGGAACGCGGGGAAGUGAAACAUCUCAGUACCCGUAGGAGGAGAAAACAAUUGUGAUUCCGCAAGUAGUGGCGAGCGAACGCGGAACAGGCUAAACCGCACGCAUGGGUAACCGGGUAGGGGUUGUGUGUGCGGGGUUGUGGGAGGAUAUGUCUCAGCGCUACCUGGCUGAGAGGCAGUCAGAAAGUGUCGUGGUUAGCGGAAGUGGCCUGGGAUGGUCUGCCGUAGACGGUGAGAGCCCGGUACGCGAAAACCCGGCACCUGCCUAGUAUCAAUUCCCGAGUAGCAGCGGGCCCGUGGAAUCCGCUGUGAAUCCGCCGGGACCACCCGGUAAGCCUAAAUACUCCUCGAUGACCGAUAGCGGAUUAGUACCGUGAGGGAAUGGUGAAAAGUACCCCGGGAGGGGAGUGAAAGAGUUCCUGAAACCAUGCGCUUACAAUCCGUCAGAGCACCUUUGUGUGUGUGAUGGCGUGCCUUUUGAAGAAUGAGCCUGCGAGUCAGCGGCAUGUCGCGAGGUUAACCCGUUGGUGGGGUAGUCG
rnacentral:rRNA from 1 species